rnacentral:lncRNA from 1 species
GUUUAAGGCAAGAGCUAUAUUUAAGCUGAGCACCAAAAGAUGCGUCGAAUUCAGUUUAGCCUAAAGCUGCCCCCUGACAUAUUUUAAGGUUUGCCUAAAGGUUUCUCCGUACGCAGUGCACUGAAACCUAACUGGAUGUGUAAACAGGCUGGAACCUACUUUUGUGCCAAUCACAAAGUUUUGUCCGAAGGAAGUCAACUGUCCAAACCAUGCUCAAAUGAGGCCAAUGGUGAGCUGGAACGAAUUUGGCUAUUUCUGUACCUCACUUCUGUUUUCUGCACCCCACUUUCCUUUUUCUGUCCACAGAUCUUCUCUCAACAUGAGACAGUGCUGGGGUCUCUCUGAACCGACUCUGGUUCCAUGGGCUAUCCAAUUUGUGAAUCGUUCUCUGCUCAGUUAAACUCUGCUGCUAGAGGAAUCCUGGUGCCACUGGCAGAUCUGAUGGAAGAACCUAUGCAUUGCAAACCCUGGGUUGGAGAUGCCACUGAGAUACCUCAGGGGAAAUGCCGAGGAAGGAGUGGAAGGCUGGAUGACAGGAGACUGUUGGUCUGCAUGUGAGACAGAGCUCACCAGACACCUUUAAUGCUUCAGGAGCAGCACACGAAAUAUAAUUUUUGAAGGAGGAGAGUUCCAUGUCCACAUCUACGCCAAUGGAAAAAAUAGCUGGGUGGAAAAGACUAGGAAAAUGAACAGAGAGUAAUUUUCAAGAUUUCCUUUCAUUAAAAAACAAAACUUGCUGGUUCAGAGAUAAAAGAAAGUGAAGCACUUUUUUUUGUAAAGGAAAGAAUUAUAAGAUUUGAAGUGAAACAUUAAUAUGAGCAGUAAAUGAAUAGCUGAAAAUAUAAGGUAACCUUAGUGGAAAGGGAUUUUGAAAUUAUUCUUUGAAACUCCCUCUUUCAUAUGCCUUGUUAAUCCGAUUUAUUUACGUGCAUUUAACGUGAGCACAGGGACUCAUGCUUUUACUUAUGUUAUGC